rnacentral:misc_RNA from 1 species
UCCUGGUUAACCCAGGCAGUCUCGCUAGAGUUCCCAGCAUUACCUGUUGGCAACUAACGAUAAGGGUUGCGCUCGUUGCGGGACUUAACCCAACACCUCACGGCACGAGCUGACGACAGCCAUGCAGCACCUGUUCAGCGGCCCCGAAGGGCUUUGAUAUUUCUACCAAAUUCCACUGUAUGUCAAGUCUGGGUAAGGUUCUUCGCGUUGCAUCGAAUUAAACCACAUGCUCCACUGCUUGUGCGGGUCCCCGUCAAUUCUUUUGAGUUUCACCCUUGCGAGCGUACUCCCCAGGCGGUAUACUUAUCGCGUUAGCUACGGCACAGCCAGGGUUGAUUCCAGCUACACCAAGUAUACAUAGUUUACGGCAAGGACUAC